GUGGGGGAUAUUGCACAAUGGGGGAAACCCUGAUGCAGCGACGCCGCGUGAGGGAAGAAGGUUUUCGGAUUGUAAACCUCUGUCUUCGGUGACGAAAAUGACGGUAGCCGAGGAGGAAGCCACGGCUAACUACGUGCCAGCAGCCGCGGUAAUACGUAGGUGGCAAGCGUUGUCCGGAAUUACUGGGUGUAAAGGGAGCGUAGGCGGGGAUACAAGUUGAAUGUUAAAACUAUGGGCUCAACCCAUAGUUGCGUUCAAAACUGUAUUUCUUGAGUGAAGUAGAGGUAAGCGGAAUUCCUAGUGUAGCGGUGAAAUGCGUAAAUAUUAGGAGGAACACCAGUGGCGAAGGCGGCUUACUGGGCUUUAACUGACGCUGAGGCUCGAAAGCGUGGGUAGCAAACAGGAUUAGAAACCCUAGUAGUCC
rnacentral:rRNA from 1 species